GGAUACAGAGUCCUCUGUACGGCAGGGACACGGACCCGAUGGAGUGUGUACAGAGGAGGGACACAAAAAUGAUCUAAGGGAUGGAAUACCUGCACUGCGAGGACAGGCUGAGGGAGCCGGGGCUGUUCAGCCCGGAGAUGAGAAGGCUCUGGAGAGACCUGAUAGCGGCCUGUCAGUAUCUAACGGGGCUGUAAGAAGGGGACAGACUGCUUGUCACGGUCUGUUGCGACAGGACAAGGGGAAAUCGUUUCAAAACAAAAGAGAGGAGAUUUAGAGUGGAAAUAAGGAAAAAAUGUUUUAGAACAAGGGUAGUGAAGCAGUGGAACAGAAGUCAGAGCCACCACAGCUGUAGUGCUGCCACAGCAGUAGCUGAAGGGAAUGUGCAUGGGGCAGGAGGGAGAGGAGUCAAACACAGCCUUGCAUGAUACAGCACAGCAUCUUUCAGCUGCACGCCUGGUAACGUGAGCGAAGCCUCGUAUGUUCAGUUCCUGCAGACUUGAGGCUGGCAAUCUUCCAGCAGUGGCCAGCGUAGCAGAUGCACCAGAAGCAUCAUUUUUUGUGCCAUUAUUUCUUUGAACAUUGGAAUAAAAGAAAUAAAACCUGUCCCAUUGCUGCUACUCCUGUCUUGGAGCUGCUCAUCCUUGCACAAAAUAAAUAUUUUUUUCCCUUUGUAAUGAAUCCUGUUUUACAUCAGCCCAUCCUAGGAGUGCUUUCUGUCUUGUCUCCCCAAAUACUGUAUACAAGGCACAGUCUGACCAGAGGAGAGGACAUCAUUGCUUAAGCCUGAAGGUCUGUAUCCGAUUAAAAAAAAAAUAUAUAUAUAUGGAGGUAUUUUCUUCCUACUGUAUUCCGAGACUGAUUCAACAGAGAUAUAGCGACUGCAGCCAGUAAAAUCUUCUGGUAUCUGAUCAGUACCAGCCUGUAAGAAGAAUGGAAAUGGCACUGUGAAGAUACCUAGAAUUACUGUGUCUCUUGCUAUACAACCAUUCCAGAAAUUGGAGAUGUCUCCUUGUACCUUCACCUUUUGAGUUUAAUUCUCUGCUGAUAAGCUAAAAUCUACCUUGUCUGGAAAAUGCAGUAAUGAAAUACUGACUUAGAUGAAAACUUUCUGUCAAAAUUCCUUCUGACAUCAGUGGGUUAGGAUUUAUUCUAAGAAUUUAGUGCAAGCAGCUUUUAUCACUUUCUGCUUUUCUAGUUUAUGUUAGGAGCAUAAGAACUUCUACCGAUGUAAAAAAAAAAUAACCGUUUUAAUGCAUCAGAAAUGAAUUUGUUCUAACUUCUACUUCCUUGGCUUUUAAUUCUUCAAUAUUUAAGCAACAAAGCAUCCUUAUGAAGAGCCAGCUUCACCGGUCAUCUUGCCCUGAUAGUUUAUCACUAUCCCUGCCCUGUUAAGAAUGUGUCCCUGAUGUUAAGGAGCAUUUUCCUGGAUAAAAGAAACUCUGUGAACCAGUUCUACAGACUGUGCAAAUGAUGUUCCUUGCAGAGUGGAAGCACAGAUAAAAUACAGACGAGAAGUGAUGACUGGUCCUCUGAUUUGUUUUGUUUUUCUGUAUCCUCUUCUGACGCUGCAUGAAGAGGAUAGACUCUGACAGCUUCAUUAAUGGAUUCCCUUCCCUCUGCUUCUGAGGCUAGCUUUCUCCUUGUUGAAAACAGUCUCCCUAAAAAAGGGAAAUCUGUCCAGACACUCUAUAGACAAUAGGUUUGGACUAAAGAUUUUGACUGCCUUAGAUUGCAAAAGCCUUACAGAGCUGGUAUUGAAGUCUUUUGGGUGAGUCCGUUUCAUACACCCCAUAGACGGACUGAGAAGUGAAAGUCUGGAUGGUCUGUCUGGAAAAUGAAAUCAGAAUACACAGUGCUCUCUUUUUUCAUCUACCUCAUUAGGCCUUUUAAACCUAGGAUUGAUGAUAACUAAAAGCAUCUGAGAAAAUGUGGAAUCAUUUUUUUUUGUUUUCUUUGUUUUUCCAGUUCUAAGUGGACUUGUUGAAAGACAAAGGAGAGCAGUCUUCAUCCUUGGGAGGGGCAGAAUAUAUGACUUCCAUGUCACUGUACCACUGCAGAGUCAUGUGUUUCAGACACACAGCUCCUCCCAGUUUCAGUCUCUCCAUUUCUGCUUUGUGUUACUCUUUACAGUGGACGCCAGACUGGAAGUAGUGAAGCUGCCAAGCUGUAAUGUGGUGGCAUGAAAGGAUCUCACUGUGAUGGUGAAGAAGGUCUGCUGUCCGAGAGGUGGAUGUCCCAGAACUGUGGCAGAGGUGAGCACUCCAGCUUCCAUCAGGCCUGCUGGGGCAAUGGGAAGAAGUGAUGCAAUGUUCUUAGAGGGACACAUGGAAGAAUCUGUCUGCAUCUACAAGCAGUUGAUGAGCCAGAUAAAUGAACCUGCAUUAGCACGUGUGGACAAAUGUUUUCAAAUCAAACCAUACUAGAGCCUAAGUACUUGUAUGACCUUUUAGAGCUUAACAGUAACGUUUUUUAGACUCAUUUGUACCUAGAGCAAUCCUUUAUGUCCAGUACUUCAUUAUUUAUGUUAAUGGGCACUUGCUGUGAAAAGCAUUUUUACAAGGAGACUGAACUUGUUAUGUUGACAAAUAAAUAUAUUUCAAGAG
rnacentral:lncRNA from 1 species